rnacentral:pre_miRNA from 1 species
UAAUCUCACCCGGUGUGUAGUGUGGAACACGGUUGCUGUUCGAGCAGAAGCACACGCACAACUGGCGAGGGAUUGCC